AGCUGGGACACUUAGGAGUAAGGAACCAGGUUUUAAGGACCCUGGCUCAGUUGUCAAAUGGAAAGGAUUGGAAUCUUCCUCAAAUCUGAGAGGCCCUUAAUACAAAUUAUAUGGGAAGGAAAAUGUUAAUCAAUAAGGUCUCCCCUUCGGAAACCUCUUAUCUCAUUCCCCUCCUCCUGCC